rnacentral:rRNA from 1 species
UACGUAGGGUCCAAGCGUUAUCCGGAAUCACUGGGCGUAAAGCGCGCGUAGGCGGCUUUGCAAGUCGGGUGUGAAAUCCCCAGGCUUAACCUGGGAACUGCAUUCGAGACUGCAUUGCUAGAGUAUGGGAGAGGGAAGUGGAAUUUCCGGUGUAGCGGUGAAAUGCGUAGAUAUCGGAAGGAACAUCAGUGGCGAAAGCGACUUCCUGGACCAAUACUGACGCUCAUGUGCGAAAGCGUGGGGAGCAAACGGG